UACGGGGGGGGCAAGCGUUGUUCGGAAUUACUGGGCGUAAAGGGCUCGUAGGCGGCCAACUAAGUCAGACGUGAAAUCCCUCAGCUUAACUGGGGAACUGCGUCUGAUACUGGAUGGCUUGGAUUCGGGAGAGGAAUGCGGAAUUCCAGGUGUAGCGGUGAAAUGCGUAGAUAUCGAGAGGAACACCUGCGGCGAAGGCGGGUUGCUGGGCUGACACUGACGCUGAGGCGCGAAAGCCAGGGGAGCGAACGGG
rnacentral:rRNA from 1 species